CCUACGGGGGGCAGCAGUGAGGAAUAUUGGUCAAUGGACGAGAGUCUGAACCAGCCAAGUCGCGUGAAGGAUGACUGCCCUAUGGGUUGUAAACUUCUUUUGUAGGGGAAUAAGCUGUUCCACGUGUGGGAUUUUGUAUGUACCCUAUGAAUAAGGAUCGGCUAACUCCGUGCCAGCAGCCGCGGUAAUACGGAGGAUCCGAGGGUUAUCCGGAUUUAUUGGGGUUAAAGGGAGCGUAGGUGGAUUGGUAAGUCAGUUGUGAAAGUUUGCGGCUCAACCGUAAAAUUGCAGUUGAAACUGGCAGUCUUGAGUACAGUAGAGGUGGGCGGAAUUCGUGGUGUAGCGGUGAAAUGCUUAGAUAUCACGAAGAACUCCGAUUGCGAAGGCAGUUCACUGGACUGCAACUGACACUGAGGCUCGAAAGUGUGGGUAUCAAACAGGAUUAGAUACCCGAGUAGUC
rnacentral:rRNA from 1 species